GGCAGCUCCAGGAAUGCCAAGGGCAUUCCCCAUAUUGCAAAAAGGGGAAAUCGAGGCCCAGCUAAAGGCUAGGAAGGCAGAGCUCGUGCCUAGAGCUGGAGUCCUGGCUCCUUGUGCUGUGUUUUGAGGCCUAGUCAUCUUUCUGAGGCCAGCAGCCUAGAGAGUCAGCAUAUGGGACAGGAGAGAAAGGGGGGGGGGGGGUUCAAAAUUAUCAAGUGACUGGGACUUCUCCAAGGCCAUCAGGCGAGAAAUGGAGGGACCAGACACAAAAUGUCUGACAUAAACCAAGGAAUUUUUUUAGGAUAUCUCCUCUCUCUGUCUCUCUGUCUCUCUGUCUCUCUCUCUCCCUCCGCCUCCAGUGUUAUUGCUGGGGCUUGGUGCCUGCACUACGAAUCUAUUGCUCCUGGAGUCCUUCCCCCCCUUUUGUUGCCCUGUUGUUCAUUGUUGCUGUUUUUAUUACUGUAGUUAUUACUGUCAUUGUUGUUGAAUAGGACAGAGAGAAAUCAAGAGAUUGGGGUAGAAAGGGAGAGACACAGAGAUAAGGAGAGACAUCACAAUACCACUCCACUACUCAUGAAGCUUCCCUUUUGCAUGGUGCUCCCAUGUGGUGGCUAAGGGUUUGAACUUGGAUCCUUGGACAUGAGAGCAAUUCAGCACAAGAAACAGGAACUUAGUAAAUGCUUCUGAAGUAAUACAUCUCUCCUGUGCCAACAGAGACCACGGGGAAAAAGAGUGAAGAGAAAUGUACUCAAAGAAUUGACAUCAGUCAAGAAUCAAAUGUCUAUUGUGCCUGCCAUCUUGUACAGACAGGACCUCUGCAAUACAGCAUGAACAUGCUACCAGAGAUGAACUGAGGAAGUCACCGAAAGAAUUCAGGAUGAGGAUUUGGAGGACCCUGUGGGAGUAUCCUUUCGCUGCCCGCCCUUAAUCCUCUCCAAAUCGCCUGGGCUCUACAGCUGUUGGUACGCCAGAUAAACUAUUUGUUCAAUUAUUCUUGGCCUCGAUGGGGCGGCUGGCCUCAAAGGCUCCGGUCUUCAUAAUUCCGGCGACUUCAAUCGGCCCCAGGCCCUCCCCGGGCUGCCUACAGGAGCCCGGCCUGUUUGAAGAGCCCUGUGCACUGGGUAAAAGAAACGAAGGAAAAUAGAACUUUCCUGACAACCCAGCAGAAAAAGGGAAGGAGAAAAAGAGUUUUCCAGGAGCAGUGGAAAUCAUGCCAACAUGAAGGC